rnacentral:rRNA from 1 species
UACGAAGGGGGCUAGCGUUGCUCGGAAUCACUGGGCGUAAAGCGCACGUAGGCGGUUUCUUAAGUCAGGGGUGAAAUCCUGGAGCUCAACUCCAGAACUGCCUUUGAUACUGGGAAUCUCGAGUCCGGGAGAGGUGAGUGGAACUGCGAGUGUAGAGGUGAAAUUCGUAGAUAUUCGCAAGAACACCAGUGGCGAAGGCGGCUCACUGGCCCGGUACUGACGCUGAGGUGCGAAAGCGUGGGGAGCAAACAGG